rnacentral:rRNA from 1 species
AUUGAACGCUGGCGGCAGGCUUAACACAUGCAAGUCGAACGAGUGGCGGACGGGUGAGUAAUGUAUGGGGAUCUGGCUUAUGGAGGGGGAUAACUACGGGAAACGGUAGCUAAUACCGCGUACCAUAGGAUGAGCCCAAGUGGGAUUAGGUAGUUGGUGGGGUAAAGGCUCACCAAGCCGACGAUCUCUAGCUGGUCUGAGAGGAUGACCAGCCACACUGGGACUGAGACACGGCCCAGAAUCCUACGGGAGGCAGCAGUGGGGAAUAUUGCGCAAUGGGGGCAACCCUGACGCAGCCAUGCCGCGUGAAUGAAGAAGGCCUUCGGGUUGUAAAGUACUUUCAGCGGGGAGGCGUUACCCGCAGAAGAAGCACCGGCUAACUCCGUGCCAGCAGCCGCGGUAAUAC